CCAACGCGUUUCAGCAAAACCUUAGAUAACAAAAGUUAGCUACUCAUGAAAAUACAAUGGAGGAAUAAACUACUAGAAAAUUCAUAAUCGAAGAUUGCCAGAAAAAUAAAAAAGAAUAAGAAUAAUGAUGUUUUGGGUGAUCUCUCACACUUGUUUCUCUUGUCAAACUACUCUCAAAAGUAAGUUUUACCCUAUGAAAACCUUGAUUAUUUAACCUUGCUCGAGCUUGACUUUAUAUAGGUUAAGUGGGUUUCUCUCCAGAUUUCCAAUUUUACCCCUAAAUAA
rnacentral:lncRNA from 1 species